rnacentral:pre_miRNA from 1 species
CUACUACUACCUCCAUCUAAUAAAAGAUGUCUCAAGUUUGUCAAAAUUUGAAUGUAUCUAAACAUGACUUAGUGUAUAGAUGCAUUCAAAUUUGAUCAAAAUUGAGACAUCCGGACGGAAGGAGUAUGUU